UUGAACGCUGGCGGCAGGCCUAACACAUGCAAGUCGAGCGGUAGCACAGAGAGCUUGCUCUCGGGUGACGAGCGGCGGACGGGUGAGUAAUGUCUGGGAAACUGCCUGAUGGAGGGGGAUAACUACUGGAAACGGUAGCUAAUACCGCAUAACGUCGCAAGACCAAAGUGGGGGACCUUCGGGCCUCAUGCCAUCAGAUGUGCCCAGAUGGGAUUAGCUAGUAGGUGGGGUAACGGCUCACCUAGGCGACGAUCCCUAGCUGGUCUGAGAGGAUGACCAGCCACACUGGAACUGAGACACGGUCCAGACUCCUACGGGAGGCAGCAGUGGGGAAUAUUGCACAAUGGGCGCAAGCCUGAUGCAGCCAUGCCGCGUGUGUGAAGAAGGCCUUCGGGUUGUAAAGCACUUUCAGCGGGGAGGAAGGCGGUGAGGUUAAUAACCUCAUCGAUUGACGUUACCCGCAGAAGAAGCACCGGCUAACUCCGUGCCAGCAGCCGCGGUAAUACGGAGGGUGCAAGCGUUAAUCGGAAUUACUGGGCGUAAAGCGCACGCAGGCGGUCUGUCAAGUCGGAUGUGAAAUCCCCGGGCUUAACCUGGGAACUGCAUUCGAAACUGGCAGGCUAGAGUCUUGUAGAGGGGGGUAGAAUUCCAGGUGUAGCGGUGAAAUGCGUAGAGAUCUGGAGGAAUACCGGUGGCGAAGGCGGCCCCCUGGACAAAGACUGACGCUCAGGUGCGAAAGCGUGGGGAGCAAACAGGAUUAGAUACCCUGGUAGUCCACGCCGUAAACGAUGUCGAUUUGGAGGUUGUGCCCUUGAGGCGUGGCUUCCGGAGCUAACGCGUUAAAUCGACCGCCUGGGGAGUACGGCCGCAAGGUUAAAACUCAAAUGAAUUGACGGGGGCCCGCACAAGCGGUGGAGCAUGUGGUUUAAUUCGAUGCAACGCGAAGAACCUUACCUGGUCUUGACAUCCACAGAACUUAGCAGAGAUGCUUUGGUGCCUUCGGGAACUGUGAGACAGGUGCUGCAUGGCUGUCGUCAGCUCGUGUUGUGAAAUGUUGGGUUAAGUCCCGCAACGAGCGCAACCCUUAUCCUUUGUUGCCAGCGGUCCGGCCGGGAACUCAAAGGAGACUGCCAGUGAUAAACUGGAGGAAGGUGGGGAUGACGUCAAGUCAUCAUGGCCCUUACGACCAGGGCUACACACGUGCUACAAUGGCAUAUACAAAGAGAAGCGACCUCGCGAGAGCAAGCGGACCUCAUAAAGUAUGUCGUAGUCCGGAUUGGAGUCUGCAACUCGACUCCAUGAAGUCGGAAUCGCUAGUAAUCGUAGAUCAGAAUGCUACGGUGAAUACGUUCCCGGGCCUUGUACACACCGCCCGUCACACCAUGGGAGUGGGUUGCAAAAGAAGAAGGUAGCUUAACCUUCGGGAGGGCGCUUACCACUUUGUGAUUCAUGACUGGGGUG
rnacentral:rRNA from 1 species